rnacentral:lncRNA from 1 species
CAGACUCUCCGAGUCGCAAAUGGGAAGACGGAUUCUCAGACAAGGCUUGCGGAUGCCCCGCGGCCAUCAUUUAACUGCGCCCGCAGAGCAGUUACGGUUUGUCACUCGACCCUCCCGGAUCGCCUCGUUUGUCCCUAGUGAGACCCCGAGGCUCUGCCCGCGCCGGGCUUCUCAAUAGCUGGAUGCAUGUCGUGCUCCGGGCAGCGCGGGCGCAGGGCACGCGUUCGCGCACACCCGCGCACACACGAAAACGCGCAAGAGCUGAACCGAGACGGGUUUCCAUUUCCAAAAAGGAGACUGCCUCUAUCCCGAUUUUACAAGAGACCGCGGUGUGAAUUAGGGACUGGGAGGCGUCAUAGAGGAGGAACAGUCCAUCUCAGAGACUAAUUUUCUGGAGUUUCUGCCCCUGCUCUGCGUCAGCCCUCACGUCACUUCGCCAGC